rnacentral:rRNA from 1 species
UACGUAGGUGGCAAGCGUUAUCCGGGAUUAUUGGGCGUAAAGCGCGCGCAGGCGGUUUCUUAAGUCUGAUGUGAAAGCCCACGGCUCAACCGUGGAGGGUCAUUGGAAACUGGGGAACUUGAGUGCAGAAGAGAAAAGCGGAAUUCCACGUGUAGCGGUGAAAUGCGUAGAGAUGUGGAGGAACACCAGUGGCGAAGGCGACUUUCUGGUCUGUAACUGACGCUGAGGCGCGAAAGCGUGGGGAGCAAACAGG